GAUGGUCAGCCACACUGGGACUGAGACACUGCCCAGACUCCUACGGGAGGCUGCAGUCGAGGAUCAUUUGCAAUGCGCGAAAGCGUGACAAUGCGACGCUGCGUGGAGGACGACGGCCCUAGGGUUGUAAACUCCUGUCAUGUGGGAAAAAUAAGGCGGUCAGUAUAAUGGUCCGCCCUUGACGGUACCACAAGAGGAAGCGACGGCUAACUUCGUGCCAGCAGCCGCGGUAGUACGAAGGUCGCUAGCGUUGUUCGGAUUUACUGGGCGUAAAGCGUGCGUAGGUGGUUUUGUAUGUCGGAUGUGAAAGCCCGAGGCCCAACCUCGGAACUGCAUCCGAAACUGCAGAACUAGAGUCCAGGAGGGGAGAGCGGAAUUCAGGGUGUAGCGGUGAAAUGCGUUGAUAUCCUGAAGAACACCGGUGGCGAAGGCGGCUCUCUGGAAUGGUACUGACACUGAGGCACGAAAGCGUGGGGAGCAAACAGGAUUAGAUACCCUGGUAGUCCACGCCGUAAACGGUGCGCACUUGGUGUGGGAGGUAUUGACCCCUCCCGUGCCGGAGCUAACGCGUUAAGUGCGCCGCCUGGGGAGUACGGCCGCAAGGCUAAAACUCAAAGAAAUUGACGGGGGCCCGCACAAGCGGAGGAGCAUGUGGCUUAAUUCGAUGCAACGCGAAGAACCUUACCAGGGCUUGACAUAUACCUGCACGCCUCCUGAAAGGGAGGAAGCUUUCGAAGGUGGUAUACAGGUGCUGCAUGGCUGUCGUCAGUUCGUGCCGUGAGGUGUUUGGUUAAGUCCAGCAACGAACGCAACCCCUGUGUUUAGUUGCCACCGGCGGUGAUGAGCCGCCGAGCACUCUAGACAGACUGCCCGUACAAGCGGGAGGAAGGUGGGGACGACGUCAAGUCAGUAUGGCCCUUACGCCCUGGGCUGCACACGUGCUACAAUGGUCGGUACAGAAGGACGCAAUACCGCGAGGUGGAGCAAAUCCCUAAAACCGGCCCCAGUUCGGAUUGGAGUCUGAAACUCGACUCCAUGAAGUCGGAUUCGCUAGUAACGGCGUAUCAGCUACGACGCCGUGAAUACGUUCCCGGGCCUUGUACACACCGCCCGUCACAUCAUGAAAGCCGUCUGCACCCGAAGUCGUUGAUCCAACCCGCAAGGGAGGAAGGCGCCGAAGGUGUGGGUGGUGAUUGGGAUGAAGUCGAAACAAGGUA
rnacentral:rRNA from 1 species